rnacentral:rRNA from 1 species
CCUGGCUCAGGAUGAACGCUGGCGGCGUGCCUAACACAUGCUAGUCGAGCGAGAAGCUCAUGACGGAAUCUUCGGAGGACGGAUUGAGUGGAAAGCGGCGGACGGGUGAGUAACGCGUGGGUAACCUGCCCUGUACAGAGGAAUAGCCAUUGGAAACGAUGAUUAAUGCCUCAUAAGACUACAGUAUCGCAUGAUACAGUAGCCAAAACUCCGGUGGUACAGGAUGGACCCGCGUUAGAUUAGCUAGUUGGUAAGGUAAAGGCUUACCAAGGCGACGAUCUAUAGCCGACCUGAGAGGGUGAUCGGCCACACUGGAACUGAGACACGGUCCAGACUCCUACGGGAAGCAGCAGUGGGGAAUAUUGCACUAUGGGCGAAAGCCUGAUGCAGCAACGCCGCGUGAGCGAAGAAGGUCUUCGGAUCGUAAAGCUCUGUCCUAUGGGAAGAACACAAUGACGGUACCAUAGGAGGAAGCCCCGGCUAACUACGUGCCAGCAGCCGCCGUAAUACGUAGGGGGCAAGCGUUAUCCGGAAUCACUGGGCGUAAAGGGUGCGUAGGCGGUUUCUCAAGCCAGAAGUGAAAGGCAAUGGCUCAACCAUUGUAAGCUUUUGGAACUGAGAGACUUGAGUGCAGGAGAGGAAAGUGGAAUUCCUAGUGUAGAGGUGAAAUUCGUAGAUAUUAGGAGGAACACCAGUGGCGAAGGCGACUUUCUGGACUGUAACUGACGCUGAGGCACGAAAGUGUGGGGAGCGAACAGGAUUAGAUACCCUGGUAGUCCACACCGUAAACGAUGAAUACUUGGUGUCGGGGGUCGAACCUCGGUGCCGCAGCUAACGCAUUAAGUAUUCCGCCUGGGGAGUACGCACGCAAGUGUGAAACUCAAAGGAAUUGACGGGGACCCGCACAAGUAGCGGAGCAUGUGGUUUAAUUCGAAGCAACGCGAAGAACCUUACCAAGUCUUGACAUCCUUAUGCAAAUCUCUUGCCGAGAUGUUCUCUUCGGAGACAUUAGAGA